GAUGAACGCUGGCGGCGUGCCUAAUACAUGCAAGUCGAGCGAAUGGAUUAAGAGCUUGCUCUUAUGAAGUUAGCGGCGGACGGGUGAGUAACACGUGGGUAACCUGCCCAUAAGACUGGGAUAACUCCGGGAAACCGGGGCUAAUACCGGAUAAUAUUUUGAACUGCAUGGUUCGAAAUUGAAAGGCGGCUUCGGCUGUCACUUAUGGAUGGACCCGCGUCGCAUUAGCUAGUUGGUGAGGUAACGGCUCACCAAGGCAACGAUGCGUAGCCGACCUGAGAGGGUGAUCGGCCACACUGGGACUGAGACACGGCCCAGACUCCUACGGGAGGUAGCAGUAGGGAAUCUUCCGCAAUGGACGAAAGUCUGACGGAGCAACGCCGCGUGAGUGAUGAAGGCUUUCGGGUCGUAAAACUCUGUUGUUAGGGAAGAACAAGUGCUAGUUGAAUAAGCUGACACCUUGACGGUACCUAACCAGAAAGCCACGGCUAACUACGUGCCAGCAGCCGCAGUAA
rnacentral:rRNA from 1 species